UUUUGGUUAACCUCCUCACGUUUGGUCAGCCUAGGGUCUGGUUGGCUGUUGACCUGUGUCACAUGGGUUCUGGUGGUUGUGUGACACAUUUGCAAGGAAGAAUCAAUCUCUCUCAUUCCUAAGGGUGAAUUGAAUCUGGGAAGAGUUUUCAAAACUGUUGAGGUGCUUGCAAGCAGAAGAUGGUGACACUAGAAAAGUAUUUUCAAAGUAUUCUUAUGGUGGAAGUAUCUGAAAGGAAUAUUGGGAAAGGAUUUAAGAUCAAUGGCUACUUGUGCCAAGUGCAAG
rnacentral:lncRNA from 1 species